rnacentral:rRNA from 1 species
UACGUAGGGGGCAAGCGUUGUUCGGAAUUACUGGGCGUAAAGGGCGCGUAGGCGGCACGGCAAGUCAGGAGUGAAAGCCCUGGGCUCAACCCGGGAACUGCUUUUGAAACUGCCGAGCUAGAGUGCGGAAGGGGCAACUGGAAUUCCCAGUGUAGCGGUGAAAUGCGCAGAUAUCGGGAAGAACACCCGUGGCGAAGGCGGCUCUCUGGGACGGUACUGACGCUGAGACGCGAAAGCGUGGGGAUCAAACAGG